rnacentral:rRNA from 1 species
GUGAUAAGCUGCGAUAAGCUUCGGGGAGUUGCACGUAAACUUUGAUCCGAAGAUUUCCGAAUGAGGAAACUCACUUAGAGUAAUGUCUAAGUAUCAUUAAGUGAAUACAUAGCUUAAUGAGGGGAACUCAGGGAACUGAAACAUCUAAGUACCUGAAGGAAGAGAAAGAAAUUCGAUUCCGUAAGUAGCGGCGAGCGAACGCGGAUUAGCCCAAACCAAUAAAGUUUUCUUUAUUGGGGUUGCGGACAUAUCAUAACGAAGAGGUAUCGUAAUUGAAGAGGUUUGGAAAGACCCACCACAGAAGGUAAUAGUCCUGUAUGUUAAACGAGAAGACUUUAGAUAUGAUCCAGAGUACCACGGGACACGUGAAACCCUGUGGGAAGCAGGAGGGACCACCCUCCAAGGCUAAAUACUACCUAGUGACCGAUAGCGUAUAGUACCGUGAGGGAAAGGUGAAAAGAACCCCGGGAGGGGAGUGAAAUAGAACCUGAAACCCUGCACUUACAAGCUGUGGAAGCACAUUUCUUGUGUGACCGCGUACUUUUUGUAGAACGGGCCAACGAGUUACGUUAAGUAGCAAGGUUAAGCACUUAAGGUGCGGAGCCGUAGCGAAAGCGAGUUUUAACUGAGCGUUCAGUUACUUGACGUAGACCCGAAACCGGGCGACCUACCCAUGAGCAGGAUGAAGCGAAAGUAAAAUUUCGUGGAGGUCCGAACCCACGAGCGUUGAAAAGCUCGGGGAUGACUUGUGGGUAGCGGUGAAAUUCCAAUCGAGCCCGGAGAUAGCUGGUUCU